GCUUUAGAGCAAUUCAAUUAAGGGUACAGCCUAUUUUGUAACAGGAUACAACCUCGACUAAUGGGAUAACUAUUACCUACUUCAUUUUUAAGUGGGCCUAAAAGCAGCCCACCUUUAAUAAUAGCGUCAAAGCUUUACUAUGCAAAUAUUUAAUACCAAUUUUUCUUCACAACCCUUUAUUAGUACUGAGUAAAUCUAUAUAACUAUAGAAACUUUUAUGUUAAAACUAGUAACAAGAAUUAGAUUUUCUCUAUAUGCAGGUGUACAUCAGAAAGGACAUACCACUGAUAAUUAUCACUCAUGAACCCAAAGAAGCAACUUAGCUAGAAAAUUCUUCUACACUUAAUGUUAAUCUAACACAAGCGCAUAUCAAGAAAGAUUAAAAGAAAAAGAAGGAACUCGGGCAAACAUAAGCCUCGCCUGUUUACCAAAAACAUCGCCUCUUGCAAAUUUAAGAGGUCCAGCCUGCCCAGUGCUUGUCGGCGAGCGGGGGU
rnacentral:rRNA from 1 species